rnacentral:rRNA from 1 species
GACGAACGCUGGCGGCGUGCCUAACACAUGCAAGUCGAACGAGGUCCAUGGAGUGGCAACACUCCGGAAGACCUAGUGGCGAACGGGUGAGUAACACAUGAGGAACUUGCCCCGGAGACCGGGAUAAGCCCCCGAAAGGGGGUCUAAUACCGGAUGUCCUCACCGAGUCGCAUGGCUUGGUGAGGAAAUGGAUUCCGCUCCGGGAGAGCCUCGCGGCCUAUCAGCUUGGUGGUGGGGUGACGGCCCACCAAGGCAUCGACGGGUAGCUGGUCCGAGAGGACGAUCAGCCACACUGGGACUGAGACACGGCCCAGACUCCUACGGGAGGCAGCAGUGGGGAAUCUUGCGCAAUGGGCGAAAGCCUGACGCAGCAACGCCGCGUGCGGGAUGAAGGCCCUCGGGUUGUAAACCGAUUUCAGUGGGGACGAACCAAGACGGCACCCACAGAAGAAGGUCCGGCCAACUACGUGCCAGCCGCCGCAGUAAUAC